rnacentral:rRNA from 1 species
GAUGAACGCUAGCGGCAGGCCUAAUACAUGCAAGUCGAACGGUGUCUUCGGACAUAGUGGCGCACGGGUGCGUAACACGUAUGCAACCUACCUUACAUUGGGGGAUAGCCUUUCGAAAGGGAGAUUAAUACCGCAUAAGACAGUAGCUGGGCAUCCAGCAGCUGGUAAAGAUUUAUCGAUGUAAGCUGGGCAUGCGUCCGAUUAGCUAGUUGGUGAGGUAACGGCUCACCAAGGCAAUGAUUGGUAGGGGAACUGAGAGGUCAAUCCCCCACACUGGCACUGAGAUACGGGCCAGACUCCUGCGGGAGGCAGCAGUAGGGAAUAUUGGGCAAAGGACGCAAGUCUGAGCCAGCCAUGCCGCGUGCAGGAUGAAGGCGUUAUGCGUUGUAAACUGCUUUUAUACAGGAAGAAACGACUCUUGCGAGAGGCAUUGACGGUACUGUAUGAAGAAGCACCGGCUAACUCCGUGCCAGCCGCCGCCGUAAAAC